rnacentral:rRNA from 1 species
GACGAACGCUGGCGGCGUGCCUAAUACAUGCAAGUAGGACGCAGUUGCGAACGGGUGAGUAACGCGUACGUAACUGCCGAUAUGAGGGGGAUAAAUAUUGGCAACGAUAGCUAAUACCGCAUACUAGUAGAUGGACCUGCGGUGUAUUAGCUAGUAGGUAGGGUAAUGGCCUACCUAGGCUACGAUACAUAGCCGACCUGAGAGAGGGAACGGCCACACGGGGACUGAGGCACGGCCCAGACUCCUACGGGAGGCAGCAGGAGGGAAGCGUCGGAAAUGGGGGGAACCCUGACCGAGCAACGCCGCGUGGGUGAAGAAGGUUGUCGGAUAGUAAAGCUCUGUUGUUAAGGAAGCGGUACUUAACCAGAAAGGGACGGCUAACUACGUGCCAGCAGCCGCGGUAAUAC